UAGCAGAGCCGAAGUUAUUGAGAGGUUUUUUUGUGAGCCAAAGCGAGAGGCUCUGUCUUCUCUCUCUAGAUUUUGAACGGCAAACCGCCGCCCGUGCAGAGGUGUGUGCGUGUGCCGAAAAAUUAUGGAUGAAAUACGGGGGAAGCGGGGUCUGGAGUCUUUCGUUCGUCACACACACAUGCAUUUACCAGCGGAUAUCGCUGGACCGAGUCUACCCAUCUCUCUCGAUCCACCAUGAUUUUUCUGCUAUCGCGCUCAUCCGGGUGUUAGGCAUCCUUAGUCUGUCCAGAACUUUCCCUGUGGAAGGAUGUACUGAAGUGAGGUGCGAUUUCUUGUGCAACGUACUUUGCUCAUUUACGUUUUGUGCCGUGUUCCUUCUUCCUCAGUUAUGAAAUGAUUUAUCCUAGCAAAUUGUUGAGUUACAGGUGUGUGCGCUAUUUAUCAACGACUACAUGCUAGCCUCGUCAACAAUCUUCAAAGUGAGCGACGGAAAGAAAACGUUUUCCAGUUUUAAAAUAUUAAGCCCCCGGUGAGGACGUCAUUACUUAACAGAAGCCGGUUCAACACGCGCAGCUCCUGUUCAUGACGUCAUCAUAAAACUGAAGCCAGCUGAACACGCGCAGCACAGAUGGUACCCUGAACGCAGUAGGAGGAAGGAAGAACGAGAGGAGGAAGAACGGUAAAUUUGGAAGGGGGAAAGCGUUCUGCCGUCUACACAGCGGGAGUAUGCCAAAACACAUGUGGGAAGGGAGAGGGAUAUUAUUCAAUAAACAGCAUGCGAAUGUGUGCAUAAAGCAAA